rnacentral:rRNA from 1 species
AGUCGAAUGUAGCAAUACAUGGCGAACUGCUCAGUAACACGUGGACAACCUGCCCUUAGGACGGGGAUAAACCCGGGAAACUGGGUAUAAUACCCGAUAGGUCUCGAUUGCUGGAAUGCAUCGAGAUUUAAAGCUCCGGCGCCUAAGGAUGGGUCUGCGGCCUAUCAGGUAGUAGUGGGUGUAGCGUACCUACUAGCCUACGACGGGUACGGGUUGUGAGAGCAAGAGCCCGGAGAUGGAUUCUGAGACACGAAUCCAGGCCCUACGGGGUGCAGCAGGCGCGAAAACUUUACAAUGCUGGCAACAGCGAUAAGGGAACCUCGAGUGCCAGGUUACAAAUCUGGCUGUCGAGAUGCCUAAAAAGCAUUUCAUAGCAAGGGCCGGGCAAGACCGGUGCCAGCCGCCGCGGUAACACCGGCGGCUCGAGUGGUAACCGUUAUUAUUGGGUCUAAAGGGUCUGUAGCCGGCCGGAUAAGUCUCUUGAGAAAUCUGGCAGCUUAACUGUCAGGCUUUC